rnacentral:rRNA from 1 species
ACGGGUGAGUAACACGUGGGCAACCUGCCCUUGAGACUGGGAUAACUUCGGGAAACCGGAGCUAAUACCGGAUAAUAUAAGGAACCUCCUGGUUCCUUGUUGAAAGAUGGUUUCGGCUAUCACUUAAGGAUGGGCCCGCGGCGCAUUAGCUAGUUGGUGAGGUAACGGCUCACCAAGGCGGCGAUGCGUAGCCGACCUGAGAGGGUGAUCGGCCACACUGGGACUGAGACACGGCCCAGACUCCUACGGGAGGCAGCAGUAGGGAAUCUUCCACAAUGGACGAAAGUCUGAUGGAGCAACGCCGCGUGAGUGAUGAAGGCCUUCGGGUCGUAAAGCUCUGUUGUUAGGGAAGAACAAGUGCGAGAGUAACUGCUCGCACCUUGACGGUACCUAACCAGAAAGCCACGGCUAACUACGUGCCAGCAGCCGCGGUAAUACGUAGGUGGCAAGCGUUAUCCGGAAUUAUUGGGCGUAAAGCGCGCGCAGGUGGUUUCUUAAGUCUGAUGUGAAAGCCCACGGCUCAACCGUGGAGGGUCAUUGGAAACUGGGGAACUUGAGUGCAGAAGAGGAAAGUGGAAUUC